UUUUUUUUUUUUUUUUUUUAGAUAUGCGCUUUAAAUACACUUGAAAAGAAGAUAAAGCUAUUCUUCUAAAUUGUGUUUCUUAAAGCCAGUAAAAAAUAGUUUAAUUAUUUUUUUAUUAAUUUUAAGGAAUUAAAAGUGAAAAAAUUCUUGGGUUUAUUUAUUUUUAUAAUAAAAAUAUCUCUUAUUGUAUAAUUUAUAAUUAUUAUUUUAAUUUUUGUUACUUCUAUUAAAAAAAUGCUUUCUAAAUUAUUCUCCUUGUAUUAAAAAAAAAAAAGCUUUCUAAAUAAAAGGAUAAUUGCAGCUUAUUGUGAAUAGAUAUUUUGUUGUGACUUUUUUUUAUCUUUUCCUUAGUCAUGAUUUGUUUUAUUAGACACAUGACUUGACUUACUGUAAUUGCAGAUUACAGUAACGCCAUUUGGAUGUUAGAUUGGAUGGUAUGCUUUUUUUUUUUCAGAGAGUGAGAUUUAAUUUUUAUAUUUAUUAGGUAAAUAAUAUUUUUUUAGCCACUUAAUUAAAUAAGAUUAAGCUGUGAUACAUCGUUUUUAGAUAAGUAAGAACAAUUAGAGUUUCAGGAUCUUUGUGCUGCAAAGGAAGUCCCCUUUGUCCCUACCCAACUGUAGGUAGACAGCUGGGUUAGGUUGUAUAUAAUUUGGGUCUUGUCUGGUUGAGCCAUGGGCGCUGCAUGUUGAUCGAGUCUUAAGGGUUGUUCUGAUUUCUGCUAUGUUUUCUUUGUUGUGUUUUGUAAUUUUUUUUUGCAAGGGUUACCAAGAAAUCAUCACAGUCAGUUUGAUAUUCAGUUUACAUGGCUGAGGAUGAGUCACGGUUUCCUCAUGGUUAGGUGUGAGCCUUUGAAUCACAAGAAGAUCAAGCUUCAUUAGGUGGUUUAGAGGAAGAGAAAAUCCAAAGGUUCAAGUAUUGGUGACUUGUCCUACACUAUUGUCUCCUCCUUCAGCUAAAAUAGAAUGAGAUAUCAAGAGGGCUUUCUCUUUCUUAACAAUGAAAAAAUAUUCUCUCUCACACCUGACAUUAGCAUUCUUUCUCUCUUCCUUUUUGUAACACCCUAAAAUUUUAAAUUUUAUUAUUUUAUGAGUAUUAUUGAUAUUUUAAUUUUAUUUAAAUUUUAAGAAAUUAUUUGAGAUUUUUCGGAUUUUAAAA
rnacentral:misc_RNA from 1 species